GACGAACGCUGGCGGCGUGCUUAACACAUGCAAGUCGAACGAUAAUCUCCCGCUUGCGGGGGUGAUUAGUGGCGAACGGGUGAGUAAUACGUGAGUAACCUGCCCUUUACUCUGUGAUAAGCCUGGGAAACCCGGUCUCAUACUCGAUACUACUUCCCGCCGCAUGGGGUGGGGUGGGAAGGGUUUUACUGGUUUUGGAUGGGCUCACGGCCUAUCAGCUUGUUGGUGGGGUAAUGGCUCACCAAGGCGACGACGGGUAGCCGGCCUGAGAGGGUGACCGGGCAAAAUGGGGAUGGGAAUAGGCCCAGGACCCCAACGGAGGGAAGCAGGGGGGAAAUUUGACAAAGGGGGGGAGGCCGAUGGAGCGACGGCGCGGGGGGGGUGAACGGCUUCGGGUUGUAAACCCCCUUCAGCAGGGAAGAAGCCACGAGUGACGGUACUGGGAGAAGAAGCGCCGGCUAACUACGUG
rnacentral:rRNA from 1 species